UCUUUCCUAGUAAAUAGGCCACGUAGCUGGCUGGAUUCGAAGAUAGAGCCCCCUGCCAUGAUCCGCUGAAAGU
rnacentral:tRNA from 1 species